rnacentral:rRNA from 1 species
CCAGCAGUCCAAAAAUAUUAGUCAAUGCUCGAAAGAGUGAACUAGCUAACUGAAAUCAAUUAAAAAAAUUGAUAACAUAAGGGAAAAUAAUGAUAUUACCUUAUUAUUAGUGUCGUCCAAAACUCGGUGCCAGAAGACUCGGUAAGGCCAGAGACACAAACGUUAAUCGUCUUAAUCAGGCGUAAAGGGUUUGUAGGCGGCUUUUAAUUUACUUAUAAAUCUUAUAAAAUAAGUUAAGAAUAAAAGCUAGAAUCAAAUAGAGGAUAUAUCAAAUAAUGCUUAGAGUAGGUCUGAUAUCCUUAGAUACUAAGUAGAAUAUUAAAGGCGAAAGCUUUUUUCCAUAAAUGAUUGACGCUCAGAAACGAAGGUGAGGAUAGGAAAUAGGAUUAGAUACCCAAAAUACCCCUCUCUGUCAACGAUGAAUGGUAGUUAUUAAUAAUAAAUUUAUUAUUAAUGGCAAUGUUAACACGAUAACCAUUCCGCCUUGUGAGUACAACUGCAAAGUUGAAAACAAAAAAAUUAGUCGGUUUCGGAGCAAACGAAGUGAAGCAUGUUAUUUAAU